CCCGUCUGCCGCUCUGCCAACGUCCCAUCGCUUCUGGGGAGGUCACAACAAACUCUUCUUGGCAUGAGGAAAUAAUGUCCCAGAGGACGGCAGGAAACUCCACAUGUAGGAGAAAGGAAUCAUUUGAAUAAGAGAAUAACGUGGCACGAAUGGAGCGUGUCCAGAGUUGCCCGGCUUGAGGUUGACACAGCUGUCGAAUGCAGAGCAGUCCCGCGUGGCGAGGCAGAAAGGUCAAAGGUCAGCAGCAUUUAUGCGGAUAGAAAGAACAGGUGACGGAGAGGUGAAGAACGUUUACGUCACAAGACUCAUGCAGGGGGGACAAAGAGAAAUUGUUGUAAGGUUUAAUGCGAGAGAU